GACGAACGCUGGCGGCGUGCUUAACACAUGCAAGUCGAACGGUAAGGCCCUUCGGGGUACACGAGUGGCGAACGGGUGAGUAACACGUGGGUGAUCUGCCCUGCACUUCGGGAUAAGCCUGGGAAACUGGGUCUAAUACCGGAUAGGACCAUGCGCUUCACGGUGUGGGGUGGAAAGCUUUUGCGGUGUGGGAUGGGCCCGCGGCCUAUCAGCUUGUUGGUGGGGUAAUGGCCUACCAAGGCGACGACGGGUAGCCGGCCUGAGAGGGUGACCGGCCACACUGGGACUGAGACACGGCCCAUACACCUACGGGUGGCUGCAGUCGAGAAUCUUCCGCAAUGGACGAAAGUCUGACGGAGCGACACCGCGUGAUUGAUGAAGCUUUUCGGAGUGUAAAGAUCUUUUAUGAGGGAAGAAGUUUAUUGACGGUACCUCAUGAAUAAGGGGCUCCUAAUCUCGUGCCAGCCGCCGCCGUAA
rnacentral:rRNA from 1 species